rnacentral:rRNA from 1 species
AGUGAACGCUGGCGGUAGGCCUAACACAUGCAAGUCGAACGGCAGCACAGUAAGAGCUUGCUCUUACGGGUGGCGAGUGGCGGACGGGUGAGGAAUACAUCGGAAUCUACUUUUUCGUGGGGGAUAACGUAGGGAAACUUACGCUAAUACCGCAUACGACCUACGGGUGAAAGCAGGGGAUCUUCUGACCUUGCGCGAUUGAAUGCGCCGAUGUCGGAUUAGCUAGUUGGCGGGGUAAAGGCCCACCAAGGCGACGAUCCGUAGCUGGUCUGAGAGGAUGAUCAGCCACACUGGAACUGAGACACGGUCCAGACUCCUACGGGAGGCAGCAGUGGGGAAUAUUGGACAAUGGGCGCAAGCCUGAUCCAGCCAUACCGCGUGGGUGAAGAAGGCCUUCGGGUUGUAAAGCCCUUUUGUUGGGAAAGAAAAGCAGCAGGUUAAUACCCAGCUGUUCUGACGGUACCCAAAGAAUAAGCACCGGCUAACUUCGUG